rnacentral:rRNA from 1 species
GACGAACGCUGGCGGCGUGCUUUACACAUGCAAGUCGAACGGUGAAGGUGGAGCUUGCUCCGCCGGAUCAGUGGCGAACGGGUGAGUAACACGUGGGCAACCUGCCCCUAACUUUGGGAUAACUACUCGAAAGAGUAGCUAAUACCGGAUAUGAAGUCUGUAGGCAUCUAUGGAUUUGGAAAGUUUUUCAGUUAGGGAUGGGCCCGCGGCCUAUCAGCUUGUUGGUGAGGUAGUGGCUCACCAAGGCGACGACGGGUAGCCGGCCUGAGAGGGCGACCGGCCACACUGGGACUGAGACACGGCCCAGACUCCUACGGGAGGCAGCAGUAGGGAAUAUUGCGCAAUGGGCGAAAGCCUGACGCAGCAACGCCGCGUGCGGGAUGAAGGCCUUCGGGUUGUAAACCGCUUUCAGCAGGGAAGAAGCGAAAGUGACGGUACCUGCAGAAGAAGCACCGGCUAACUACGUGCCAGCCGCCGCAGUAA